CUUGAGCUGAAUUCACCUCAUUUGUUAUAUGAUACAUAAACAAUAAAGCUUGAGAUGCCCAUGCCGUGAACUCUUAUUAUGUAGGUUUAGUCAGAUUUUU